CCUACGGGUGGCAGCAGUAGGGAAUCUUCCACAAUGGGCGAAAGCCUGAUGGAGCAACGCCGCGUGGGUGAAGAAGGUCUUCGGAUCGUAAAACCCUGUUGUUAGAGAAGAAAGAGCGUGAGAGUAACUGUUCCCGUUUCGACGGUAUCUAACCAGAAAGCCACGGCUAACUACGUGCCAGCAGCCGCGGUAAUACGUAGGUGGCAAGCGUUGUCCGGAUUUAUUGUGCGUAAAGGGAACGCAGGCGGGCUCUUAAGGCUGAUGUGAAAGCCAUCGGCUUAACCGGAGUAGUGCAUUGGAAACUGGGAGACUGGAGUGCAGAAGAGGAGAGUGGAACUCCAUGUGUAGCGGUGAAAUGCGUAGAUAUAGGGAAGAACACCAGUGGCGAAAGCGGCUCUCUGGGCUGUAACUGACGCUGAGGUUCGAAAGCGUGGGUAGCAAACAGGAUUAGAUACCCGAGUAGUC
rnacentral:rRNA from 1 species